AAGUAAAAAAGUCAUUGAGAUGGUAUAAAAGAACAGUUCUGAAAUAGGAAACAUUAUUCAUUUAUUCCAAAAACUGAUAACUACUACAAAAUAAGGUAAGAUUUCUAAAGUGUAAGUGCUAAGAUAAUUAUCAUUUAUAAUUUGUUCACCUGUUUCUUUUCAAUUUAACAUUACUUUAAUUUCAAUAGACAACUUGCCUCUUCAUUAUUUUAAAAACUAAAUAGAAAUUGAGAAAAUCUAUUGAAAUCAAUUAAAUAUGCAAGGCUUAUAAAUAGGUACGUAGUAAUUGUUUGGUAACGUGAUGACAUUUAUAAUACACCAUAAAUAUAAACAUUUCAAAAGGAUACAAUUUUGAAAAUCAAAAAAAAUGAUGAAAUUAGCAAGAUCAUUGAAUUCUAGAAAAAAACACCUUUUCUUUAAUAUAUUUUGUGUUUAAAAAGAAAUAUCAUGAAAUAUCAUACAGAUCAGUUUAAAUUGUUUAUGAAAUUGAAUAAGACAUUACAUGUACGUAUUUUUGAAGUCAGUUUGUUUGAAUACCUAACUACGGCUGAACAUGUAUUAUGUUAAAAAAAAAGUGUUUUUUUAUUGAAUAUGUAUAUCCCUGAACUAAAUGUUGUACUUAAAAGUAUGAAGUUAAAGUUUUUUUCUUUUUAAAUGAAUUUUUGAGAAUACCGGAAAAUGAUUGUGAUAUUGAAGAAAAUUCAUAUCUAUCAGUACUAUGUCAGAUUUUAAACAGGUGAAUGCAAUGCAUUGCCAAUCUUUUUAGUUUAAGGGCAUACGAUACAGUUUUGAUCCUGUAUUUACAAGUUCAUGAAAAUUUGCAUAUAGGCUAUUUUUUACCUGAUUAAAUCAAUAUGUAAUAAAAAAUAUACCUUAAUGUGCUACUUUUUGAGUAAAAUGAGGUCGAAAUUUUGUAUAUUUGCUCAAAAUUCAGAUUUUUGGCCGUAAUUUCUUUUUCGAAAGAAAGACAUAACUUUUUUGUUAUAAAAGAUAAACACAAAUUGUUUUUUGUUAAACAAUCGUUAAUUUCUGUAUUUUAUAAGUAUCCUAAAAAAAUAUGCAUUUUUUAAUUCAGAAAUAACUCAUAUUUAUCAAAUGUUCAUGAAUUGAGGAAAAGACGUCAUAUUUUGCUGCAUGUUUAUCAAAAUUAAAAAAAAUCCUCUAUUUACAGUUUUAUAAAAUUUGGGUCACAUAAUCUCCCUGCAAAAUGAAACAAAUUGCCGUUUUGAAAAAUAGGGGUCCAUAAACUCGUUUUCAAAUUAAAUCAGCUUGAAUGAUAAAAAUCAGUCGAAAAAUGCAUCUUUUCCCGAUAUGUCACAGUUUGACGUCGCGAAAAUAACAUUUUACGUUAGCACGUCAUUACCUCCCCUGUAACUGUAUCGUAUGCCCUUAAACUUGUAUUUGCAUUUGUUAUUGAAUGGAUCACUUUCUAUUAUUUGAGUUUGAAAAAUAAUUCCAUUACAUAUAUUUUACAAAUUUAAACUUCAUAUUUUACUACAUAAAUGAGAAUUGCUGUCUACAAUAAGUUUGGUCAAUCGGAUCUAUUAAUUUCUAAGUAAAAUUCUAAAACAUCUGAAGUAAAAUGCUUGCAGGUCUAAAUUAUAACCCGCAACUUUUUUUAUUACAUAAUUUCUACAUAUUUUUAUACAGAUGUUUAAAACAUGCUAUCUUCCUAUAUCUAUUAUGUUGUAUAUUUCAGACAAUUGAAAAUGAUGAGAUUUGAAACUAUGUCAUUGUCAAUGUUGUUGACUAUAAUGUCAGUAGCUGGUAAGCAUUUUGUUAUUUUCACCUUUUCUAUUAUUUUCUUUUAUUGUGCUUUCAAACAGUUUUGAUACCAGCAUUAUGGAUGCAUAUUAUGUAAACGACAUCUGGCGUACACAAUUAUCUUAAGUCUGGUACCUUUGAUGAGCUUUGUUUUUACACAAAUAUGUCUGACGCAGUUAAGAUACAAUUCCACAAAGAUACCACACUUUUAAUUCUGUAAACAAGACCCGCAUAUCGUCUAAAAAAGACCCAGCCGAAAAGCUCAAAUCUAAGUGCUAAAAUCAAGUUUGAAUUUGAGGUCAACAGAUGUUCGAAGUUUUUUAAUGUAAGUUUGGCAGUUAAUUUAUGAAUAUGACCAUAUCGAUGUCAACCUAACUUAUCAUUGAUAAACCUGUAUAUACAUUAUAAUGAAAAUAACACAGUAUCAAGAUGAUAGUUUUGCUAUAUUCGCAUUAAACAGGCACGCAUUAAAACGAUUUUAAAACAGCUAUUACUUCUGUCACAAAGCUCGUACAUUUUUUACAGCCUAUACACCUACAGAAAAGAAAUUAGGUCUACAUGGAGUAAACAAGGUAUUACAGCUUGAGAAUGGAGUUGGUAGAGACAUUGGAGGUCACCGAGGAGAGUCACUUACUGUGUUGGAUGUAAUUGAUGCAAACAGACGAGCAGGAUCUGACAGAAGAAGUUCAGCUGUCUCUGAAAUUAUAAGAAGCUCUUCAUUUCAGAAUUCUGCUGGUAUAGCAAGCAAUGAUGGUUUAAACAAAAACUGUCAUUACGAGUGUGGAGUAGAUAAAUUCUGUAACCUAGGACAGAAAUGUGUACGCGAUGGAUGUGACAGUUAUUGUGUCCAAGUUUCAUCUGGAAGUGUCAUUGGUGAAUCUGGAUUGUCGGGGUCUAUAAGAAGUGGAAAUGGAAAUACAGUUUCAGAAAUUAUUAGAGGUUCAUCAUCUGACAUUUCAAGACUGUCAAGCAUUGAUGGUUCAAAAUGCAGUUAUGGAUGUGGAGAAAAUAAACUAUGUGCAUCAGGACAUAAAUGUAUCCUCGAAGGAUGCAACAGCUAUUGCGUUCAAUUAUCAUCUAGUAGCCUAAUUGGUUCAGGUCAGUCUUUAACCGGACGUUUGGGUCUAUCUAACAAUGGUCAUUUGGAAACUAUUGGUAGCAGUGGUUCAAUGUCUGGUCACACAGGUUCUGAUAUUCUUGACGCUAUCUCAGCUAGACGAAGUGGCAUUAAUGCAUUGGACACAAUUACAUCUAGACGUAGUGGCACGGAUGCAUUGGACACAAUUUCUUCUAGACGAGUAGGAUCAGUUGGAUCAUCUGGUUCAAUUAUCGUUUCUCAGUCAGUAAAAGGAGGCCGCAGUGAAUGUAGUAAACUAUGUCAUACUGAUUCAGAUUGUGCACCAAGCAAAUACUGUACCACUGUUAAAUGCCACAGGCUUUGUAGAAGAAGGCCAUCUAAAGGUAAUUCAGGAUGAAUAUAAUAAGAACUUUGAAGAAAUCCACAAUUUUUUUACCCAAAUUGUUUUUUUUUUUUAUUAUGAAAUAAAUAAAAUGUUAAAUACAA
rnacentral:lncRNA from 1 species